UACGUAGGUGGCAAGCGUUGUCCGGAUUUACUGGGCGUAAAGAGCGCGCAGGCGGUCAUUCAAGUCGAGUGUGAAAGCCCCGGCUCAACUGGGGAGGUCACUCGAUACUGUUGACUCGAAGGCGGGAGAGGGAAGUGGAAUUCCCGGUGUAGUGGUGAAAUGCGUAGAUAUCAGGAGGAACACCGGUGGCGAAGGCGGGUCUCUGGGCGAACAACUGACGCUGAGGAGCGAAAGCGUGGGGAGCGAACAGG
rnacentral:rRNA from 1 species